CAGAAAGAGACAGUCCUCUAACAUUAACUAGGGCUUGCUUGUUUUCCAUUCCAUGCUUGUGUUUGAAUUCUUAAAGCAUUUGUACCAAAGUAAUUAUCUCCAUGUCCAAUGUGUAGUAAGUAAAACAAAUUUUGGGAGUUGGACUGCUCUACAACUUCCUAAACAAUCCCAGCAGAGAAACAAUUGCUGCAUAAACUGCUAACUUGAAAAUAUUGAACAAAAGAUAAUUCCUAGCAUGUGUCUUACUGGGACUGUUCAAAAAUACAAAGUUUUGUAUUAAAAAAAAAGUUUUAGGGAAUGGGAACAUGGCUUAGUGGUGGAGUGCUUGUCUAGAAUCAUGCAUGAAACCCUGGGUUAGAUUCCUC